GACGAACGCUGGCGGCGUGCUUAACACAUGCAAGUCGAACGGAAAGGCCCUGCUUUUGUGGGGUGCUCGAGUGGCGAACGGGUGAGUAACACGUGAGUAACCUGCCCUGGACUUUGGGAUAACUUCAGGAAACUGUGGCUAAUACCGGAUAGGAGCUCCUGCUGCAUGGUGUGGGUUGGAAAGGUUCGGCGGUUGGGGAUGGACGCGCGGCUUAUUAGCAUGUUGGUGGGGUAGUGGCUUACCAAGGCUUUGGCGGGUAGCCGGACUGAGAGGGUGACCGGGCACAGUGGGACUGAGAUACGGGCAAGAGUGCUACGGGAGGCAUCAGUGGGAAAUAGUGCACGAUGGGCGGCAGCAUGAUACAGCAACGCCGCGUGCGGGAUGACGGCCUUCGGGUUGUAACCCGCGUUCGCCUGUGACGAAGCGUGAGUGACGGUAAUGGGUAAAGAAGCAACGGCUAACUACGUG
rnacentral:rRNA from 1 species